rnacentral:rRNA from 1 species
UACGGAGGGUGCUAGCGUUGUUCGGAAUCAUUGGGCGUAAAGCGCACGUAGGCGGUCUGUUAUGUCGGAUGUGAAAGCCCUUGGCUUAACUGAGGAAGUGCAUCCGAAACUGGCAGGCUAGAGUACUAAAGAGGGUCGCGGAAUUCCCGGUGUAGAGGUGAAAUUCGUAGAUAUCGGGAGGAACACCGGUGGCGAAGGCGGCGACCUGGGUAGAUACUGACGCUGAGGUGCGAAAGCGUGGGGAGCAAACAGG